rnacentral:lncRNA from 1 species
GGGAACCAUAGCUUGGGAAAGCUGAAGCUCAAAACAGCCAAGUGGCAUUGCAACUAACCAGGUGAUAGCCUGGCAGGUACACGUGGCGUCUGAUCUCUGCAGGAACAACGGCUCUCUGGGAACUUGCCCAAGGCCUGGCAACUGGUGACACUCAAUGCAUUUAUGCUUGAAAAAUUAAGAAGCAAAAGAAUGAACACAGAGAGAGAACUGACACUUCUCGUGGAAAGGGCCACUGGAAGGAUUUGCUGGGAAACACCUGCCCAUUCAGACACCACUACAGAGAGACCUGCCGAGCAGAGAGGAGGGGGAGAAGAGGUGCCUUCACAGAAGGAGCCAGCAGAGUCAGGAGAGGAGAAGCCAAGAGCGGGAGAAUGAGGCAAGCAGAUGACACUCCAGCAUAGAGCUAAUUCUCGCGCCAAUGGUCUUGCAUUUGCCCAGGUGAUUGAAGCAGAUGCCGCAGCUUCAGGUUUGGGUGGAGGGAGCGAAGGAAGAGUUAAAGGACCAGUGAGAAGUGACUAGUCCCUGCAAGGCCAAGUCAAUGACAGCCAGGAGUGACCCCCAAAAGAAGAAAGCCCAGGGUCGGUCCUCCUGGGACAACAUGGCUGCUGCUUGUGGGAAAGAGGCAUCCAUCUCAGCAGUUCAGAGUCAGGACUCUUGACACAGCUGGUCUUCGGAAGGAUACUCAGAAUAAAGGGGAUAUCUCUCUGUCUGUCUUUUUCUCUCUCUCUUCAUAUUUUUGCCUCUGUCCAUAAAGACAGUGACAUUGCUGCCCAACUGCUUAUCCGCACAAAAGAAUGCAGUACUGGGGGAAUGCAUCAGCCGCCCACCGCACCCUUUAUUGGCAGUUCCUCAUUGAAGGGCCUCAUCUUUUAAAAGCAGAUUUUGCAGGGGAAAAUGUCAACAUGGACACCUAGGCAGGAGAAGCCAGAGCCAGGAGACACUUCAGGCAGCAGAAAAGGACGAGGGUGGACCACCUGGAGCAUGUUAUGUCUGAGAUGUUGACCUUCAAUUCACUCAUCUCACAGGAAUGUGUUGGCUUCGCUUUGCAUCCAUUUUCACACCAGCUGAGCAGGCAGGCACUUGGCCAGAGUCACCAAAAUUUGUGUAUGUAAAAGAUGUGCCAGAACAGUCCAGAAACCUCACUGAGCCUCUCUGACAAAGGCAAGCUUCUUGUGCCUCAUAAAACCUUCACACCACGUAGAUGGAAUCAGCAGCAGCUGCAUGUCUUCACCGGGCUGGGGAGCCAGGAAGCCAGAGGCACCAUCUAGAGCAGGCAAUGCUGUCUCCUGCUUAGCAGAAACUGUAGCCUGCAGAGACCUUGCUGUUUCUGCAGGUCAUCCUGCUAUACUGAGCAGCUGACAGCUGAUGAAGCGCUCCUCUGAUGGUUCAAAGCCUACACAUUUUUCACCUCAACUGGCCUAAGAAAUAAGCAAAGAAUUUCUAUCCCCUUGGGAAAAGCUGUCACACAGAGAAGACUCCCCAAAAU